rnacentral:lncRNA from 1 species
GAAAAAUCAAAAAAAAAAUACCAAACGACUAAAAUACCUAAGAAAACAUUGUUCCGUUGAAGAAUUGGUUGAUCCUUGAAGCUCUCAUUUCUGGAAUCAUUUAGGGAUAAUCAUUGGAUGAAAUGGCUUGAUUUAGGUAGGUUUGCAAGGGCAUUUGGUUCAAUUUUGGGUUGUGUUUUAUUACUGAAUAUUUUCUGAGAGUCCUGGUGGUUUGAACUUGCUUCAAAACUGAUUUUUCUUUGUGGGCUAACUUUGUUGCUAGUCCUUGAUACUGCUUUGCUGAUACUUCAUUUCUGCUUUUUGUCUUCAAUUUCCAGAUACAAAUCUCCUAAAAUUGUGCAAUCUGAUGCUAGAAUGGAAAAAUGAAAUGAGAGAAUGGAAGUUUUGUUAUUUCUAAAGAUCAAUCUGUUAUACUGUCAUGUUUUAAAACUGUUGUUUGAGUUAUUUCCUUCUGUAGACUGUAAUAUAUAGUUUGAAUAUUAAGUUUGCUUAAAUCCCUAUGCAUUCGAUAAGCAUAACAUGUGGAUUUUGUUGAGUAGAACUAGUCAUAAUUGCUUGGUUUUAAAUGAUCUCUUGAGUGCUGAAGUUAUACAUGAUCCCUAGUUUUGUAAAUGCAUAAUGCUCUUUAGUAAUUUAAACUAUGAUGUAGUAUUUGGACUUUUAUCACUCAUGAAGCAUGGCGAUCAUGAAAGAUUGAUCGUAUGAUAAUUUUGAUCUCUUAAGUAUUUUGUUACCAUCUCUUUUGAAAUAAUAGUAUAAGUUUGUUUUAAUUCGAAUAUCGUGUGAGUGUACUAGUUGUUUGUUGUUGUCUAAGUAAUGAGUCAUGAAUAGAUGGGGUUCUUUAGUAGUUUGAGAGCAUUUUCUUUUCCAGAUUCUUUGAAAUUUUUACAUAUUCCAUCACAAUGUUUAAAACUAGUUUGAGAUUUAAAAUUAAAAUUGCAUAUAGUUGAAUUGUCAAAAUGCAUGUUGUCUGGAAUUCACAUUCCUGCUUCUGGGAGCUAAGUAGCAUUUUGGGCCUUCAGGGAUUUGAUUCCUGGGCCAGGACUUCGCUAAUCUCCCUUUAUCCGGGACUGGGCCUGAUUUGGAAGUCCUGGAGCAUUGUUUUCUUUUGGUUUGAUGGUUUUAAAAUUGAAAUGUGAGAAGCUGGC